GGGGCUGUAGUUCAGCUGGGAGAACGUUUGACUGGCAGUCAAAAGGUCAGGGGUUCGAGUCCCCUCAGCUCCACCA
rnacentral:tRNA from 1 species